AAAGGAGAGACCGACCAAAUGUUUGGGACAUUGGAAGAUUGAGUUACCGCGUCGCUAAUCACUGUCCGAGGGCUGCAAGCAAAAUAAGAGGGAAAUGGAAUGCGCGACGCAGUGUGAAGCCAAUUAUGUAGCACCCACCCUUACCACCCAGAAGCAGACGGUGGUGGGACGUCAAGUGUGCGUGUCAUUAGGGCAUUAUUGAAAAGGAAAU
ensembl:ncRNA R09F10.14 ncRNA